AAAUUACUAGUUUCUAAUGGUAAAGAGCAUGAAUAUUGACAAUUAUCUAAGUAUGUUCCAGGCUGCUCCUCGAAGAAUACUUGAAUGGUAAGCUGCAUUUGCUUAUUGCUUUCACCAAUUUUGCACUUACAAUCUAAUUAUUUAUAAUUUCCAUUCUGCAGGUAAAUAGGAUAGUCAAAUUCUGGAAGAUUCCAUGGAUGCAACUUAUUGCUAAUGCACCGAGUCAGCUUCUGUAUAUAUGCCGGAUCAUAAUACUGCCAGUAACCUCGAUAGGGUUUCACGCGUAAUCGGAAGGCCAAAAGGGAGUCACAUGAGGCAGUUACCCAGGUCCAGUCCAGGCCCUCACGGUGGAGGUAAAGCCCUACUCCUACUUGAUUGAAUUGAUGGUGAUAGCUUGGUAUGGGAGCUAUGAUGUGGUGUACAAUGGAGAGAUCACUAUGAUCACGUAGGUGUAUCCAGAUUAGAUAAUCUAUGAUCUAGUCCUAGGCCUUGCUUAUACAGGGGACAAGGCCUAGGGGUUACAAUGUUCCAGGUCGGUGACACCGGGGUGGGGAUCCUUCGAGAUCCCCGGGAUAGCUUGUAUUGAUCGCCAAGUAGAUGGAUGCGUCUUGAUGAGGUCGCCAACCCGUUAGAGGGCCUGGGCCACACCGUGGCCUGAUGGGUCGACUUUUGGUCUGUCGGGUGUCGGGUACCCCUGGUACAUGGCAUCGUCAGUAGCCCCAUUGUAUCCUUGCUUACAGGGACAAGACCUAGGGUUUACAAACUUCAAGGUCUGUUAUGCCUGGGUGGUGAUCCUCUGUGAUCCCCGGGAUAGCUUGUCUUGAUCGCCAAGUAGAUGGAUGCGUCCUGAUGACGCCACCAACCUUUUAGAGGGCUUGGCCGCACCGUGGCCUGAUGGGUCGACUUCCGGUCUGCUGGUUUACCCUUGGUACAUGGCAUCGUCAGUAUCCCCCGAGUGCGUCAUGGACUCGACUGCAUCUGGGUUGCAAUUGAAAUGAUCGUGCUAUCUUGGACUGCUUGGCGAGGUUGUGAGGUACUCCUGGAAUCCCUAAAAUAAAAACAAAUCUGGCUCUGCCUAAUGAGAGGGCCAUAGCAGCUGGACGUGCCUGGUGUGGAUACCUGAAGGGGAACCUGGACCCGACCAGACAGGAGAUGUGCCUGGUGGCCAGCUCCCUAGUUUUGCCAGUGGCUUGUUUACGAAGGGCCUAAUGUCGACAGUAAUCUCGAUAGGGAGCCACUCGCAAUCAAAAGGCCAGAAGGGAGUCACACGAGGCAGUUAUUCAGGUUCAGGCCUUCACGGUGGAGGCAAGAUCCUAUUCCUGCUUUAUUGAAUUGAUGGUCAUAGCCUUGCAUGAGAGAUAUGGUGUGGUGUACAAUGGAGACAUCGCGAAGGAUCACGUAGGUGUAUCGAGAUUAGAUGAUAUAUGAUCUAGCCCUAGGCCUUGCUUAUGUAAGGGACAGGGCCUAGGGUUUGCAAUUUUCGGGUUGGUUAUGCUCGGGUGGGGAUCCUUUGAGAUUCUCGGGAUAGCUUGUCUUGGUCGCCAAGUAGAUGGAUGCGUGCUAAUGAGGCCGCCAGCCCGGUAACAUGCCUGGGACGCAACGUGGCCCGAUGGGCUGAUUCCCGGCCUGGUGGGCUGACUCCAAUCUGCUAGUGUUCCCCUGGUACAUGGCACCGUCAAUAUACGAGGUGGGUUGACCAUAACAACGGAAAAGCCUUUAGUCCCAAACAAAUUGAGGUAGGCUAGAGGUAGAACCCAUAAGAUCUCGCGACCAACUCAUGGUUCUGGAACAUAUGGAUAGCAAGCUUCCACGUACCCCUGUGCAUGGCUAGUUCUUUAAUGAUACUCUUGUCCUUCAAAUCUCUCUUUACAGAUUCCUCUCAUGUCAAGUUCGGUCUACCCCGACCUCUCUUGACAUUAUCAGCGCGCUUUAGCCGUCCACUAUGCACUGGAGCUUCUAGAAGCCUGCGCUGAAUAUGCCCAAACCAUUUCAGACGAUGUUAGACAAGCUUCUCUUCAAUCGGUGCUGCCCCAACUCCAUCUCGUAUAUCAUAUUCGGACUUGGUCCUUCCUCGUGUGGCCACACAUCCAUCUCAACAUGCGCAUCUCCGCCACACCUAACUGUUGUACAUGUUGCCUUUUAGUCGGCCAACACUCAGCGCCAUGCAACAUUGUGGGUCGAAUCGCCGUCCUAUAGAACUUGCCUUUUAGCUUUCGUGGCACUCUUGUCACAGAGAAUGCCAGAAGCUUGGCGCCACUUCAUCCAUUUGGCUUUGAUUCGAUGGUUCACAUCUUCAUCAAUAUCCCCAUCCUCCCGUAGCAUUGACCCCAAAUAUCGAAAGGUGUCCUUCUAAGGCACCACCUGCCCAUCAAGGCUAACCUCCUCCUCGUGUCUAGUAGUACUGAAACCGCACCUCAUGUACUCGGUUUUAGUCCUACCAAGUCUAAAACCUUUCGAUUCCAAGGUUUGUCUCCAUAGCUCUAACUUCCUAUUGACCCUUGUCCGACUAUUGUCGACUAGCACCACAUCAUUUGCAAAGAGCAUACACCAUGGGAUAUCUCCUUGUAUAUCCUUUAUGACCUCAUCCAUCACCAAAGCAAAAAUAUAAAGGCUCAAAGCUGACCCCUGGUGUAGUCCUAUUAUAAUCGGGAAGUCAUCAGCGUUGCCAUCACUUGUUCGAACACUUGUUACAUCAUUAUUGUACAUGUCCUUGAUGAGGGUAAUGUACUUUGCUGGGACUUUGUGUUUCUCCAAGGCCCACCACAUGGCAUUCUGCGGUAUCUUAUCACGAUGAACACCAUAUGCAGGUCCUUCUUUUGCUCCCUGUAUCUCUCCAUAAGUUGUCGUACCAAGAAAAUAGCUUCCAUGGUCGACCUCCCAAGCAUGAAACCAAACUGAUUUUUGAUCACGCUUGUCAUUCUUCUUGAGCGGUGCUCAAUGACUCUGUCCCAUAGCUUCAUUGUAUGGCUCAUAGCUUAAUUCCACGGUAAUUAGUACAACUCCGAACAUUCCCCUUGUUCUUGAAGAUUGAUACUAAUAUACUCCGUCUUCAUUCUUCUGGCAUCUUGAUGUAGGGUAGAACCCUAAUCGGCCGAUCUUUCACGAAAGGAGCGGAUCCCGCGAUGAACACGAAGAACACAAGGGAAAACGAGGGGAAACACGAGAGGAAACACGGGAAAAUCACUAAACCAACACGAAAUAGUCACACAUGUGCUAGAUCCUCGGGUACAUAAGAGAUCACACGAUCCACGGACAACUAAGGACGAUACAAAGGUAGCCGGUCUUCUCCGUGAGGAGGUCUUGAUGUUCUUCUCCGCAAGGAGGUCUUGAAUCCAAAGGGAUCUUCUCUGAAGAGGGGCCGCGGUCUCUCUCGUGGAGUAGAUCCGAUGUGUAUGAGCAAUGCUCUAUUUCUAAAUAUGAGCUAAACCAAUGCUAACCCUAGAAAGUAGGACGAGGUGGAGAAUAUAUAGUCUAGGGGGGCAAAGGGGUACACGGGCCUCGGCCCUUACACUGUGCGCAGACACGGGCCUCGGCCCUUACACUGUGCGCAGACAGGGGCCGCGGUCUCUCUCAUGGAGUAGAUCCGCUGAUGCUUUUGGCUGUUUGUUGGGGCAGCUCCUGCGCGGCUGCCUAGGCGCCGGAUGUCCGGCCUCUGGCCCGGAUGUCCGGCUGCUGUAGCUUCAGCAGCUUCGUCUUCUUCCGUCGUCGCUUCCAGGCUUUCCUCGCGGAUGGUGUAGUUGCACACUUGCGUUCGCACUCGUCGUCCGUAGCGUUCCGACAAUACCUAUGCAUGCACACGAGUGGAGUGUCAAGUAGUAUACCAUCCUCGAAGGGGUCAAGUGAGCACGUGUAAAGGAGAUGAUUCACGUUUGUGUAUGUGAAGUAGAUGUCGCACGUGUCACUCGCCGAACGGACUCUUGACAUGGUGAUGUCCAUAGGAUGCUCCGCAUCAAAACCUCUCCUCACCGCUGCAUCAAUUAGCUCACGAAGUUUACCUGUUGGGGACGACCCUACGUCCCAGCUACCUAAGCGGAUCCUCCUAGGCUUGGCUAGCUUCCUUACCCUUCGCACUCAUCGAGUCAAAUGCGAAGACCCUUGCUCAUUUUCCACUACACUCCAUCGAUGUAGCGUGCCACUAAGGAUGCGACGACCUGAUCCUUGCUCACUUGCCACCGUAUCCAGAUCAAGAUACNNNNNNNNNNNNNNNNNNNNNNNNNNNNNNNNNNNNNNNNNNNNNNNNNNNNNNNNNNNNNNNNNNNNNNNNNNNNNNNNNNNNNNNNNNNNNNNNNNNNNNNNNNNNNNNNNNNNNNNNNNNNNNNNNNNNNNNNNNNNNNNNNNNNNNNNNNNNNNNNNNNNNNNNNNNNNNNNNNNNNNNNNNNNNNNNNNNNNNNNNNNNNNNNNNNNNNNNNNNNNNNNNNNNNNNNNNNNNNNNNNNNNNNNNNNNNNNNNNNNNNNNNNNNNNNNNNNNNNNNNNNNNNNNNNNNNNNNNNNNNNNNNNNNNNNNNNNNNNNNNNNNNNNNNNNNNNNNNNNNNNNNNNNNNNNNNNNNNNNNNNNNNNNNNNNNNNNNNNNNNNNNNNNAGGAUGACAGGCUAUGUUGAAUAAAUUUAGCAUCAAGUAUUUCAUGUCCAUACUUAAAUAAUGCUGUUUAGUGCAUAAUUUGUAAUAUACAUUGAGGGUUAUACAAUUAUAAUUAUUCGAGUCCGUGCUAUACAUAACUCCGCCUAUGUUGUCUCAACAUAGCCGGUCCCAAGCCCGGGUAAAGGAGGAGGGUUGUGAUAGGCUUGGCGAGCCAACGUAAAAACUCAGCCACUCUUAUGGAGAUGAAACCCAAAAGAUUUUCGUUGGGGCGUAACCCUCUCAGCGACGUGCCACAUCGGAACCCGGGUGUGGUGGAAAAUGGGCAAGGGCCGGGCCGUCACCCCCUAAGUGGCGCGCCGUAUCUUGAUCCGGAUACGGUGGCAAGUGAGCGAGGAUCGGGUCGUCUGGGUUCAGUCUGGGUCCUGACACUACCACCCGCCUGAGAAAUGACUUGCUCUCAAGGCGUAAAAUCUGGAUACGUCGUCUGAAGAAACGGGACGUCUGAAGAAACGGGACAUCUUCCCAGGUAGCAUCAGUAGGUGCUAAGUUCUCCCAGUGAAUCAACCAUUGCGCAAAAGGAACUUUGUUGUGCUAAUAAUGUGCCUGUCCAGCACUGCAAAAGGUGUUGUUUUCAAUAGCCCAUCUUCUUGUUGGCAUUGGAACGUGAGGCAGAGGAACUGCAAACUUGCCCAUAUGUUUCUUGAGGUGGCUAGUACUCCCUCCAUUCCAUAAUGUAGUGCGCCCACGCUUUUCGAGAUUUAACUUCGACCAUAAAUUUAACCGACAUGGGCGAGUGCGGGGGGAGCAUGACAAAUACCUUUGAAUUCGUUUCAAAAGAAGUUUUCAAAGGUAUAAUUUUCAGUAAAAUGAUUUAUGUAUCAUCGGUCUAGUUUAUGGUCAAAGUUGAAUCUUGAAAAGCUUGGGCGCACUACAUUAUGAAAUGGAGGGAGUAUUAAACACUGGAUGAAUUUGAGCAGUGUCUGGGAGUUGAAGUUUGUAAGAAACAGCACCCACUUUGGCUAACACCUUGUAAGGACCACGGCCCCUAGGCCAAAAGCAUUCUGCUUGUAUGGCUGUACCUUAAUGCACAGCAUGUCUCCAACCUUCAGGUGCCUUUCAGUGCGUUUCAGAUCAGCAAAAUGUCUCGUAUGAUUUUUGAGCAUGCAACAGGUCAUCCUUGAGCUUCUGUCUCAUCUUUGUCAAGCAUAUCAGCUUGGGCUCCAAGGCAGUAUACUUCUGGGUUAGUGUCAGUUCAUCGAUUUGGUGAGGAUGAUAUGCAUACGGAGCUUCAAAUGGUGUGACUUUCAAGGAUGUAUCGUAGGUGGUGUUAUACCACUAUUCGGCCAUGGAAAGGCAGUUCAUCUAGUCCUUAGGAUGUUGAAAUACCAUGGAUCUGAGAGAAUGCUCUAGACUGAUUCAUACGUUCACUUUGCUCAUCUGUUUCGGGGUGAUGGGCAGUACUGAAUUUGAGUUUCACUUUAAAGCUGGAUAAGAUAUCCUGAUAUGAUUUGUUGCUGAAUAUUCUGUCCAUGUCAUAUAUAAUCAUAGCAGUACACCAUGCAGUUUCACAAUGUUAUUCAGAAAUAACUGAAGCACAUACUGGACUGUAUAUGGGUGGCUCAAAGGAAGGAAAUGAGCAUAUUUAGUCAGUCUAUUGACUACUGCAGGUACCACCUCUUUCCCUUGAGAUUUUGGUAAAACUUCUAUCAAAUCUAUGGAUAUAUGUCACCAUGGAACAUCAGGGAUUUCAAUAUGAUCCAGUAAUCCAGGAGAGUGUACAUGUUCUACCUUGGUUAAUUGGCACACUAGACAAGUACUGAUGUGUACUGUUCCACAUCUGUUUUCACUAGUAAGCUUGCACGUGCGACGCACGUCUCAAUUAAUGCACGUAUAUACACUAAAUAAGUCAUUCUUUCUAUAUUCUGGAGUUAUAUGUACACUAAUAUGUCUCCAGAAUAUUUUAAACAUCUUCAUUUGUUUAAAACAAAUAGCAAUAAAAAUAUUCUAAUCCAUUACAAAGAUAAAUCUCACAUAGUGAAAUGGGUUUACAUGGCGUAUAAGAAGAACUAGCACAAUGCCCGUGCGUUGCAACGGGGGUAUAAUAAAUAUUCUACUGAUUCAACAUCAAUUGUAUCAGAACAUAUACCUUUAGCAUCCUCGUCUUUUCCUUCAUUCGUCCACUAUCUCCACCUUUCCAAUCCAAACACGUCUUGACAUAUGUUUUCCACUUGUUCUUUCGAAGAAAAGCACUAUUGCAUACUUAUGUAUCUUUUUUUAGGGUUUCAUACAAAGGUAUCAAGAUGAUGAAACUUUUAUUAACCAUGAGCCAUAAUCAGAAAAUGUUUCAUGGAAAGCUGAGAACAAUGCAAGCCAUUAGCAUGUUAAUUUCAUCGAAUCGCUUCAUGAGCCAACAGAACUUUGCUAGAGCUUCAUCUCUUCAAUAACCAUGGCCUCUGUUGCCUUGCAAGGUUGAUCAUCCCUAAAAGCCAGUGUCCAUAUCCCAUCAACAUCAUACUUCUUUGUCUUCCCUUUAAAAUUUUCUGGUAAAGGAAAGGAACGACAAAAUGUUUUAUUUGAGAGGAAAUAAAUUGUGCCCAAUCUUUUUUCACUAGAUUUAUUAUCCACAACAAAAUUUUAUGUCGUAAUGCUAAUCUGUACAUCGGGUCCAUUUAUGGAGCCUGUACAUGAGAACAAUGCCAUCUUGAUGUACGUCGAGGUAAUUCUUCAUAAAAAAAAUAAUCCACCCAGAUAUUUUGUUAGAUACAACUAAAAAGCAGAAUUGACGUUCUUUCCCUCUCUCAAAUGCCAUUCGGCAAGGAAAAGCAUCAACGGCAAGAACAUCACGAUAAACAUUUAGUGUAUCACAAAUAUAGCGAAGAAUUAAGGUAUUCAAUUUCCAUACUGCCAAUUUAAGAACUUCAAGAAAACUCAGGCCUAAGUUGACUUCGAGCCUGGGUUAGGGCACUCAACCAUGAACAUCUAGCUCAGUUGCUUGCUUAUCUAUGGGCUGAUCCAUUGGAGAGUAAAAUAGGCGGUUAUUAGGUAGGUAAAAGUUUCUCAUAGGUGUAAGAGUAAAACUUGAUGUUGUACCAUAGAACCCUGCAAAAAUUACCGCUAUGUUUCAGAAUCAUCGGAGAAUUUGAAGAAAAAAAAUACUUCCAAUACAAAACAAAAUUUAGUAAGAUACGAGACAUUAUUUAAAUUCAGAGAGUACAAGAUUAAUUUGACCAGAUUCAAACUCAAAUCUUGCACAGAAUAUUCUAAUUCAAAGGAUACAAAAAGUAAAUGGACAAAAUCUACCAAGAAGUGGUGCCACAUGUGUCUACUGCCACUGCUGGAAAUGCUCCAAGUAUGGUCAGUAUCAGUGGGAAUGCCUAGUUCUAAAUAAGGGAACUGUAAUUUGAACAACAGCAGGUCCCAGAACCACACCUCAAGCAACAUUUCGUAGCCCAUAUAGCUCCUCAUCCUCUGUAGUGUAAAGAUCCCAAUCUCAUUCUCACUAAUCUAUCCAUGACAAUGAACUGACAUAAGUUUUAGCAUGCCAAGGAAAGGAGAUGGUAGCAUUUGGUUUUGCCAGGGUAGGGAGGAGCUCCAACAGAAAAAGGAGCCGGUGGAGAUAGCUUAGCCUUGCAUGCAAAAAUAACAUGUCAGAAGGCUGGGAGGAGAUCAUGCGGGGACGGCCAGCGUGUUUGCUCGAGCGAGCUGAUGGCCGACAGCUGUGCUCGAGUGCAGACGGAGCGCUGAGCUCGAGUUUGAUGGGAAGCGGCAUAGCUGGGACAAAUGCCUGCAUCAGUAAAAAAAAUGUAAAAACUACUCAUAAUUGCAGUCAUCCAUGAGAACAAAAUUUUGCUAAUUCACGAAGCUCAUAUCAGAACCUUAGAGGCAUUAUUCUCUUGUCUUGUCAGCGUGCUACAUAUCCAUAGUCAGAACUCGUAAGUUGUAGUACUGUUAUAUGCUUGGACACAAAUUUUUGAGAUAGAUUAUUGCUUGUUUCAUGGACUCAUGGAAUCAGAGUAUCAUAGUAUCAUUAACAAUGACAAGGAAGAGCUCCCGAAUUAAGUAGAAGAUUGCUUCAUCCCUUCUUGAAUGCCUUUUCAGAGAACCUGACAAACUAACAGGGCACUACAUAAGCCACCUAACAUCCAAAAUUAUAGAACCAAAAAGAUGCAGUAUGCUCAUUUCCUGAUGAUUUAAAAUAGAACAGAUGUGCCUAUAAUAACAUAAGUAGGCUUACCUUAAGUACCUCGCGCAAGCUAUCCUCCGAAGCCAUUUGUACACCACUUUUUCCCAAACCACGAUGUUGGGACAGGAAUAAGAGUAUCACUCAACUCAAGCAAGUGCCACGCAAAGCAACCAGUGAAUACCAUUUAAGCUAGCUGAUAAUGACAAACUAUAUUGUAUGAAUAUGAUGUCAGUACACUUCAGCCAUCAUUAAAUAAGCAACGGACAUCAUAAUAGCAACUUCACCAUUAGUAUAGUGUCUGAAAAGAAUGCCAAAUUAGAGGAACAAUUCAUAAGUGCUUUAGUUGGCAAAACAAUUUUAUUUUGACUUGGAUCCAUCGAUGAGAAUUCAAGAGGUCGUGGAAAACGUUUUGCUGCAGAUCAGACUGAAGGAAGCACCUGAGCUGGCCAUUGAGUCUUCAGGGAGAGUAAGCGUCAGCGGCUCCACAUCGUUGGAGAAAUAAUCUUCAAACCUAAGUUACGUCAUUAAUAAAAACAGUGGUGAGUAACAUGAAACCUAAGAUUCAGAGAGAUCUAUGAAGCCAUAGUCAAAGGAAAAUAUUUCUGCUGCAAUAUUUUUGUAAAGCAAGUAAGUCCAGUCAUGUAAAAUGAAGCAGAUAUACAUGGCUCAAUGAUGCACUAUCCCAUAUUAAGCAAAGUGUAAAAACUUAAGCUGGGCCAAGGUAAUACAAUCUUGGAAUGCUUACAAUUGUCUCCAUGAAGGUAUUCAGUAGGACGUUCCAGCUGAUCCUAGCUUGUGCACCACCAGCAGUUUCUUGCUGCAGUUACAUAUGUGCAGAUUUGACAGGGAACCAUUAACUUCAGCAGAAGUUUUCUCAAGUAAACCCUCAAAUUCAGACCUAGCACAGGUCAGGCAGUGAUACAAUAAUUGGAUUACCAAAAAGAACAUAGGGGAGAACAUGUAUAGCAUUUCUGGAGCAUGUGCUUAAUGGUAAAAACCUGGUCUUUUUAAGAUUGUUAAUAGCCUCCCCAGCUAACCGAUCAAGACUUAAUGAAUGUUCAAAAUGCAUGUGGACAGCCUUGGGUUCACCAGAUGCGUAAGACUUAAAAACAAAAAUACAAAUUAUACUAUUAAUUCCACCAGAAUUUGACUACCCAACAAAGAAGCUCACAACUAUGUUCAUUUUAGAAGAAAAGAAAAAUUAAGAACAUCUAAAUUUUACGAAGAUGACAAUUGUCGGCACCGAAUCAGCUUGGCGGAGGCACACGAGAACGUGUUCGUACUGGCUGCCGAGACACGGGCUGGCAGCAAGGACAUACUCAUCUUUCCGUCGCGUCGGUGGUUCAGCACUGUGCCAACGCCCGCAUCUCCUCUUUCUCCCCAUUCUCUAGGCUAAUAUAACCAAUCAGAAUGUACAAAAUAGGUAGUACGUAAAUGAAGACUUUCACAUAAAGUUAGUGCAAGAUGAAACACCAAAGGAACAAAAACUGAUUAGUGAAUUACCUCCUGUCUGUUGGGUCGAUUGAUCGAACAGUUUGGGUGCAGGUGGUUGCGGAUCUCGAGAAGAUAAUGGACGUCGAAGGUGGAGGCUGUAAUGGCAUGGGGGAGGGACCCAGGUGGUGCGGGGGUUGGGUCUGAUCCGGGAGGUGCGCCGCCGAGGUCGGGGUGGGAGGUGAGGUCGCCUUGCCUCUGCAGCCUCCGCUUCUCCACAACCUCUUCCCAGAGGAGGCGCACGUUGUCGGCUGGGACCACUCUGAACGGAGGAAGGUUGGAGGUGGGAGGAGGGUUGGAGGUGGUGGCCGCAGGAGCGCCGCCUGAGAUCGGGUGGGAGGUGGGGGGCGGCGCUUCAUGAGUGACGAAAAUAAAUAAAUCAAAUCGCGAAACGUUUUUUCCCCUGAAGUCACUUAAUCAUGAACUGUGGGUUGAAUACGAAAAAGCGCAGGGUCUUUUUUUGCAAAAUACUAAUGACGAACGACCAGAAGCGAUAAGCGCUUUACUAUUAGGUAAGGAUUUUGAAUUGACAGUCGUCAUCAACCAGAAGUACGGCAGCAAACAGUAGCAAUGAAAUCAUAUAUGUUUCUUACUGAUGUAUUAUGAUGAAUUACCUUCAAAUUUACAAAAAUAAGUCAGCAUCAUCCGGCAAGAUCAUUCAUACAUGUUAAGACCUUGAAAUUCACAUGAAAAAAAACAUGUUUACAAAUCUCCAUAUUCGAUUAUCGUAAUUGAGUUUUCUAAGAUAACCUCCGAUGUCUAUAUAUUAUAAUAGAGAACAAAGAGUAAUAUCAGUAAAAUCUAAGAUAAUGUUUUAGCAUUUAAGGAAAAUCUAAUUAUUGCUCUCAUCCUGAGAAUGAAUACUCUCCACCUCUUAUGAGGUUACAUUACUAAGUGGCAGCAGCAUACUGAAUGACAAUAUAUCGGGCCUCAUAAGAAAGAGUUUUGCGAACUUACUCAUGGCUCAUGACAUGGACUGAAACUUCUAAUAAUCCAAAACAAAAACCAGACAAUCAUUUAUUUGUCUGUAGAUAACAAGGUUGAACAUUUCUUGUGACAUUUCCAUUAUGCAUGACAAACAACAUGUAGCUCUCUGCAUCUGCUGUAUCCAUCCUUCUUCAAGGACUUCUGGUCAACAAAUAAUGUAUUCUCUGUAUCAAAGAUGGUUGUUGCCUGAUUAGGAAUCUGUUCCUUGUGCUAUCAACUGUUCAUAGCCUUCUUGGCAUAUUGUCGUUGUUUCAGUAGCCCACCUAGAACCAUCUUCUACAAGGAGACAGUGCCAUUAAAUUAGAGAAAAUGAGAAAUUUUGUAAUGCAUCAACUUCAUUGCGAUAUAAACACCAAUUUUUAGGCACAGCCGAAAACUGUUGAACCGGUAUGGGUCCAAGCCCAUCUUCUUAUCCCUUAGGGCCCAAGCCCAUGUGGAGGUGCUGACCUAGAAAGAGGCAUCCAUCCCUCCCGUUCCUAGUGAGCCGCCACACACGUGAGAAACUUCACGCAGGUCACCAGACACCAAGAGCUCUCCUGUAGGUACUCCUCUCGUUUCAACAUGGUAUCAGAGCCAGGUUGCCGGCGACGCUGGUGGUCUAGGUCGCCGGCCGGUGGCGAGGUCCGGUGAAAGGGGCAGCGCACGCAUCUGGGCGUGGCAGGAGGCGGCGAUCUGUGCAUGCACGCGAGGCGGCGGAGUGGUGCGCGGGACCUGGUGGCUGACGACGCGAGGAUUCCCGGCUGGCGCGGGAAGACCAGUGCGGCUACGCGAGCUGCUGUUGCUGCGUGGGAGGAACCAGCCGAGCUGCUAUUGCUACGCGGGAGGAAGUAGAGGAGGUGCGGUUGCUGAUUGCUGCAGAUUGGUAAAGGAAGGGGAGGUAACGAGCUGCUACUGCUGCUGUUCUGCUGGAGAAGGGUGCAGCUGUGUGCUGGUGGCUGGUGCUGGUUUGCUGUGCUCAGGGCUGCUGUUUGCAGAGGAAGAAGGAAGAGGCUACUGGUGUGGAGCUGUUGCUGGGCAUCUGAGCUGCUGUGUGCUGCUGCUAGCCAGGGGGUGUGAGCUGCUGCUGAUUGCUGAAGGUGAAGGGGGCAACGCUGCUGCUGUUGUUGCUGGGUGCUGCUGCUAUCCAGGGGAAAAAAAGGGACCGUGCAGCUGUAGGGCUGUGUUGCUGAGGGUUGCUGUUUGAUUACCGGAUCGGAGAUGACUGAACCAAAUGCUCUUGCUGAGGCUUUCGAGAAGCUCGCUAAGAUCCUCGCUGAGUCCAACUCUGGGGCCAUCGUUCCUCGGCAGGAAGUGGCGGAAGUGGCUCAAAAGCUUGAAAUGUCACCCCUGGACAUGAAGCUGGAGGGGGCCACAAACUAUUUGAGUUGGUCAAGGAGGGCAUUGCUGGCUGUGGAACAAAAGGAACUUGAUGGGCACUUAUUGGGUACAGUUGAUGAACCAGGAGACAAGACUACCACGGAGGGAAAGAGGUGGAAGGUCAUAAACUCUGUGCUCGUUGGCUGGUUGUUGAACUCAGUGGUGCCCCCCAUUGGACGCUCUCUGUGGAGGGACUAUCUACGUCCGCCGAUAUAUGGAAGACUUUAUCCGCCCAAUACUCAGGCAAGGGUAAUUUUAUGCUAAUUGCUCAGAUUGAAGGGAAGAUCAGUCGGCUGCGCCAAGGUGACGACAUGUCAGUGAUGGCAUAUGUGGCAGAGCUGCAGGCUUUGUGGGCGGAGCAAGAUAACUGCGAUCCUCUGGAACUCUGAUGCCGCUUGCAUCAAGUCAGGGUGGAAGUGGAUUGCACGCAGGCGUGUGUUGAAACUGUUGGAAGGACUUAGAGGCUGCUUUCAUGGAAGGGGGGCAUCCCUGUUGCACCAACCUCUCCAACUAUUGAAGAGACUAUUGCAGCAAUGUCUCAAGAGGAGGUGAGGCUGUCUCUUGAGCAUGCAGAUAUGAAGGCUGUGCCGGCUUCGACAUUUGCUGUCACUGAGCGCAUGGAGUGGGGAGAUCCCAACAAAUGUCAUGUUUGUGGGGAGAUAGGUCACUGGAAGAGGCAAUGUCCAACUCGUGGCAGAGGCAGGGGAUAUAACAGAGGGGGGACUGGCAUAGGUAGGCAUGCUAGAGGCAGGGGUGGAUACCUAGGGAACUUAGGGGGUCAAAUUUCUAGGGGCAUAGGUGGCUACUCAGGAAAUUCAGGGGGGGGGGCAGAGGUCACAUAUGGUAGUUGAAGGGGACACCGGGACGUCAAAGGGCAAGGAAGAUGAUGUGGCUACUCAGGACGUCUUGGAUACUCAAGUGUAAUAAGCCUUCAGUUCACUCAGAACAGAAUGUCUUCAGUGAUGCUCAAUCACUUUGGGGUUGGUUGUUUUGGGUUUGUCCUUGCAAGGAUUCUCUCUCAAAGGCUUCGGAGGAGGGUUGCUCUCACACGACAAAAGCCGUGUACUUCUCUCUGAACAGCCGCCAACUCAUGGUGGAGGGGGGUGGCUAUUUAUAGCCAGGGGCAACCUGACAUGAUUUGUCCGAAAUGACCUUGGAUCAUUGGGGAACUGACACAUGUUCAACAGUCGGAAUUUGAACCCACGUGGCAGCUUGACUUGGGCUACAAGUAAAGCUGACUCAUCCAACACAGGAUAAAUUUUUCUCUCAUUUGUCUUCGCUCGAAGACAUAGGAUUUUAGGUUGAGCAUCACGUCAGAUUCUGACUUCGUUUACCUCUACCCCACUUGACAGUUCGGUGGUUCCUAUGACUCAAGAAUUAAGAAAACGAAACUACCAAAAGACUAUGUCUUCGUGCUUCAUUGUCUUCAAUGAAUGUCUUCAUGAACCGUUAUCUUCAACAUGAAUGUCUUCGUGAACCACCUUUGUCUUCAGUGUCUUCAUACAUUUUUAGGGGUCGCCUUCGAUGGGUAAACCGAAUCAAUAGGGACUUCUACCUGUGUUCUGUGAAUCUCACGAACACGUUAGUCCCACAACCAAGUUUGUCUUCAAUACUCCAAAACCAACAAAGGGUUGCACUAGAUGCACUUACAAUCUUCCCCUUUUUGGUGAUUGAUGACAAACUGGUUGAAGUUUUCAACGGGGAUAAAAAUUUGUGAAGUUAAGGCACAAGGUGUUUGGUUUCAUGAAGUAGUAGGGGCUCCCCCUGAAGAUGUGCAUUUAUGUAAUUUGCUUUUGAAUGCAAAUGCACAUGGCAGAUUUUUCUUUGUGGAGAUCUCCCUCUUUUCAUGAAGUCACAACAUAUGCAUACAAAGAAUACGUUGAAAAUAAUGAAAUGCACAAUGGAAUAUGGGCGUCUGCGAAAUGACUUCAUGCGCAUAAGAUCAAAGUUAAGUAGCGGGCAACCAAAAACAGCAACGAAUGUAGCAGACGUUCAUCAGGACUUAAGUUUACAACCCCAUACCAAAUGUUCAAAAUGAGAGUUGCAAACUUAACAAAAUACAACAAACCCGACCCAAAAUUCUCUCUUGAAGACUAUCAACCCAUAUGCUUCUCCCCCUUUUGUCAUUGAAUGGGCAAAAAGGUGUGAAGACAUAGGGUGUCUAAGCGUUCCCGGAUGACGAUGGUGAAGAUGUUUGUGCAACCGGGUCGACGUUGGUGUUGGGUGGUGCAAAAGCCCGAUGCAGUAUCGCGAUGCAGAGAAGUCAUUGUUGGAGAAGUGGCAUCAUCUUCUUCAUCAACAAGCCGGGCGUAUGUUGGAGAAGUAUUUUUGAUGAAGAGGUUCCUGUUGCGAUUGAUGUCACUCUCUGAGAUGAGACGCCUUCGUUGACCUUGGAGAGCCAGUCCCAGACUACCUUCGCAGACUCCAGAGCACUCAUGCGGCCAUACUGUCCCUUGGUCAGAUGACCACAGAUGAUGUUUUUGACAGUCAAGUCCAGUUGCGCGAACCUCUUCACAUCAACAGCGGUGACACCUUCACUGACCUUGAGAACUCUAGUCCUGAUGACCUUCCAGAGGUCGUUGUCAAUGGCUUCAAGAUGCAUGUGCAUCUUAUUCUUCCAGUAAAGACGGGGCACACAACGGAGACCUUGAUUAUCCCUGUAGUUGACAUAGCUAAAAGUGCAGGUGGUUAAACCGAAUAGCACAGAACAAGGGAGCACCUUGUUUUGAUACCAAUUGAAAGUGCUAGUUAUCGACUAGAGAGGGGGGGGGUGAAUAGGCGAUUUUUAUGAAAAGGUUCAAAAACAGACAAUGUCUACGAAGGUAGCGGAAGUAAUACAUGAUCUAACAACACUGAUGAUUAAGAUGAGCAGGCAUGGCAGGUGUAGACCUCAUACAUGGAUGCAUGCAUUGAAGAUAAACACAAGAAGCAUGAAGAUAAAUGAGCAAACAGAUGAAUGGCUUCAGAGAAUAUCUUCAAACACAGACAAGCAAGCAAAGGAUUCAUAGAAUGAUGCAGUAAGUAAAAGGGAGAGAGGAUGGAGCAAGUAGCUCGGGGAAGACAAUGAUUUGUUUGACCAUUUCCAACUGCUGUGACAGUUGUAUUUGUAUGCCUGGUUAGGGAGUCUGAGAUUAAACUUAGAAGACCUUGUCUUCACCUUAUUCCCCUUGAGCUAAGGUCACCUAGACCUCACCCAAUCACUUAGGUAAGUCUUCAAGGUAGACUUCCAAACCCUUACAGACUUUGUUCACCGGCAAUCCACAAUGGCUCUUAGAUGCUCAGAACAUGACGCCUAAUCGACUAGAAGAUCAUAGUCUUCAAGUGUAAUAAGUCAUCAGUUCACUCAGAACAGAAUGUCUUCAGUGAUGCUCAAUCACUUUGGGCUUUGGUUGUUUUGGGUUUGUCCUUGCAAGGAUUCUCUCUCAAAGGCUUCAGAGCAGGGUUGCUUUUAAACGACAAAAGUCGUGUACUUCUCUCUGAGCAGCCGCCAACUCAUGGUGGAGGGGGGUGGCUAUUUAUAACCAGGGGGCAACCCGACAUGAUUUGUCCGAAAUGACACUGGGUCAUUGGGGAACUGACACGUGUCCAAUGGUCGGAAUUUGAACCCAUGCGGCAACUUGACUUGGGCUACAAGUAAAGCUGACUCAUCCAACAUAGGAUAAUAUUUUCUCUCAAUUGUCUUUGCUCCAAGACAUAGGAUUUUAGGUUGAGCAUCACGUCACAUUCUGACUUCGUUUACCUCUACCCUACUUGACAGUUCGGUGGUUCCUAUGACUUAAGAAUUAAGAAAAUGAAACUACCAAAAGACUAUGUCUUCGUGCUUCAUUGUCUUCAAUGAAUGUCUUCAUGAACCAUUAUCUUCAACAUGAAUGUCUUCGUGAACCACCUUUGCCUUCAGUGUCUUCAUACAUUUUUAGGGGUCAUCUUCGAUGGGUAAACCGAAUCAAUAGGGACUUUUACCUGUGUUCUCCUGUGAAUGUCACAAACACAUUAAUCCCACAACCAAGUUUGUUAUGAUCGUCAUAUUAGGGGCUUAGCCCAGUGGGUUGUGGCCCAAGUUAUCUUAUCCUUAUUAGGGGCUUAGCCCAAUUAUCUUAUCGUUUGCUUAGGAGUCAAGUAAACCUCUCUAUAUAAGGAGAGGAGAUGUAUCAAUCUAAUCAAGCAAGAAGCAAUCAGUAUUUGCUCGGCUUCCCUUAGGGAGCCGGGAGACCUAACCCUAGCCGCCUCUUGCGCCGCCGCCGCCUCUUCUCCAUCACGCAAGGACGGCGCCCAGCCGCCGGCCGCCGCGCCCUCGGCCUCGUCUUCCUCCAUCUUUCCCCUACAGUCUCCGCCCUAGAACCGGCAGAACCCUAGCUCCUAACAAAGUUUGUUUUCAAUACUUCAAAACCAACAAAGGGUGGCACUAGAUGCAUUUACAGAAACUUAAAUGAUAAGUGACUGUAGUGCUUCUACAAAUUCAUUCAUACGAUGCCUGUUCAGGAGUCAGGACAGAAGUGGAUUGGGUAUAUGCAUCAUCGUGAUUUCGAGUGUGAAAUGUUGUAGAUCUAAGACAUAAUAAAAUCAUCACUUCCUUAGCCAUAAACCGAAUAAAUCACAGAACAUAUUGGAAUCAUCACCAUGAACCAGCACAAGAUUGAUAAGUGGCCAUAUCAAGAUCAUACCUUUAACACAAGAAUCAAUCAUAACCAGUAGCGACUUAGUGCAGCAUCCCAGUUUUGUGAAUGAUAUAGAAGACGUGGUGGUUUCUUGUAGCUCCAGCAACGGGCUACCAAAGCCGUAAAUUGACCCGAGCUACAUAUGGAUGGGAGGAACCUGCAUAGCCGAACCUGCCUAUGGAAUCUCUGCAAAACAGAGUACACAGGGGAGCCAUGCAGCCUGAAGUCACCAUAGGGAAGAUUAUAUCAAACAAUUUGAUCCAAAUAAAUUAAGAAUCUUCUGCUUGUGAAUGUUCAGCCCCAUCCAUUCGUGCAAGACAGACUACAUGAGAGGCAGAGACUAACAAUGUUUCUAACUAAAAUAAGCUCCAUUAUCAUAAUAUCAUUAGACAAGCACUACGAUGAUCAGUAACACACCAAAUGAAUCAGCAAUAUUCUAGAGCUAGCAGAGAGCUUACAGCCCAAGCAUACGCGAAACCGCGCAAGGAAGAUGCCCACAUCCAUAUCUCGACAACGGAGUCGAUCCGUCACUCGGAGAGCUUACAACCCAAGCAUACAAUAUUUGAUUUGGUCGCUCCCCGACAGCAAGUCGAUCUCAUGCAUUCUCAUAGUCGUAGGUGGCCGGCGCUUGAUCCUCGUCCCACUUCACGGCGCCACCAUCCUCAUACGUCCUUACCGGGGUUGGUAGAUCCUGUGGAGGGCCAGCAGGGAAGACCAGUGAAGCAGGAGCACGCCUGGGCAGGUCAUCACUGUCAUGGUAGGGCAUCACGGGAAAGGCGUCGGCGCGGUCAAAUGAUGGCGGCGGUAGCGGCGGCGUCAUGAGAUUUUGUUUUGCGCUAAGGUUUUCUUUGCGGGGACAUUUAGCGCUGAGUGGUUGCGGACAUGGGACAGGGAUAUUUCUUCUACCGGUGGAGCUUGGUCAGCCUGCGGGGGACAUUUAGCGCUGAGUGGUUGCGGACACGGGACAGGGAUAUUUCUUCUACCGGUGGAGCUCGGUCAGCCUGCGGUAAUUGCUAGGUCCACACAAUCAGGAUUAGAUUAAUCCUGACGGUUAAGAUUUGCCUAAGAGAGAUGAACUGGUGGUGCUGUUCUAGCUGUGUACGUUUGCUGGGGUGUGUUUAAGAAAGAAAAAGUUUGCUCUUUUAUAAGUAGUAGAGAAAUUGGGCCAGUAAAAGUACCUUUUCAGCCAGUGAUAUGUUCUAAUUCCAGAGUGACCCUCAAGUGCAGAAGUGUGAUAUGUAUGCAGGAGUGUUUGACUAAAGGAAUUUGCAGUUCCAAUGUAUAACCUGGUGUUGUAUUUGAGCACACCAUCAUUUGGAGAGAACUUGUCUUGAUCAAAAACAUCUUGUGCGACUUUGGUCAAUAGUUUGUAGUAGUCAGCAUGCCCAACAUAACUGUUUUUAACAUCAGUGAGCAGUGCCCCUAGUGUGUUUUAAAUGUAGUUUUGGGGAUGUCUGGUGUGGCCAUUCUUAUUAGGUGAUAGCCUCACCUUAAAUCGAAUUUGCUAAAGAAUUUUGCUCCAGUAAAUCCUCCAUAAGAGGCAUGGGGAAUUUGUUUUUAAAACGCAGUGGAGAACUCUCUGUAAUUCACACAUAAUCUCCACCCCCAUCCUUUUUUAUGACCAUUACCGCUGAAGAGGAAUAGGGACUGAAACUGAGUUCAUAUAAGCAAUGAGGUGCUCAUUCUGCAUCAGCACAGCACCCACCCGUGACCCCUAUUGCGCAAGCGUCUGUUUCAAUGGCAAAUGGCAGCUUGAAAUUUGGCAAGGCCAAAGACUGGGGUACGGGUCAUCACUUGUUUUAAGAGCUCAAAUGCUGAUGUAGCAUGUUCAGACCUGACAAACCCCUUCUUAGUCAGCAGCUGUGUCAGGGGUUUCGUGAUGAUACCAUAAUUCCGAACAAACUUGCGGUAGUACCCUGUUAAUCCGAGAAACCCUCGCAAUUCUGUAGCAUUGGUGGGUACGGGCCAUUUCUUCGACUGUUUUUUCUGGAUCCGUAGCCACCCCAGUGUCUGAAAUAAUAUGGCCAAGAUACUGAAUGUUGCUUUGCCGGAGGAGUACUUGGACAGUUUUGCAAAGAACUUGUUUGCACGGAGCUGCUCGAGCACAAGGCGUAGGUGUUCCAGAUGAGCUUCCCAUGAUACAUUGUACACCAGGAUGUCGUCCAAGAACACUAUCACAAUUUGUGAAGUAAAAGAGCAAAGACUGAGUUCAUGACGCACUGGAACGUCGCUGGUGCAUUCGUAAGACCGAAGUGCAUCACAUGGAACUGAAAAUGCACGUGGUGUGUUUUGAAAGCCGUCUCUGGUUCAUCUUCAGGGCGCAUUCAAAUCUGAUGAUAGCCUGCACGAAGAUCUAGCUUUGAAAAGAACCUUGUGUGUGCGAGCUCAUCGAGUAAUUCGUCCACCAUCAGAGGGGUACACAUCUCCAUUAGAGAAGGGGUUUGUGACGAUUCACCAACUCUAGUAUGCAGUGUAUUGUGCUCUUUAUGUAGGUGAACACACUAGGUGCCUGUGUGCCACAUUUAUACAUCUGGUCCGUACACACAAGCACACAUCUUCUACCCGUCGCUUCAGGUAUGCAUCUUUCCUCUGUUUUAAUGCUAUAAUAACCCCCCCUCCCUCCCAUGCGUGCUUCUCUCCCAUGGCACUGUGCUCUGGUGAAUGGAGGAGAGAAGCCUCCAGGCAUGCAUCGGCCGCUGCACAGGAGCUGCAAUGUGCCGGCAGCCAUGUCUCUAUCGUUGUUGUCACGUGGACAGCCGUGGCAACAGAGGAGAGCUGCAGCGGCGUCUAGCCUGUAAUAGCUGUUGCAUCAAUUCCAUUUUUUGGGUUCACUUGAGAUCGACGAAUCGGAAGGAAACUUGAGAUGAUUAGAGUUCGGUGAAUCGGACAUCAAUUUCCGAUCAAACCGAGCGAAUUCGUACUCCGAUCUAGAUCUGGGAGCAUAGUGAACAUAAAACUAGUUAAAGAAGACGCACAUUGCUUAAACAAAUGGAAUGAAUAGUUUGCUAACUGGGGCCAUAGCGAACAUAAAACUAUCCUAACAACAUUUUCUUAUUUUGCACUUUCUUCCGUAAAUAGAUGAUGUGUAGGACAUGGGCGCAGUCUCCACCAUGCAACGUGGACCAUUAAUUUCCGUACAAGUAUAUCAGUAGAAGUAAUAUGAAAUACUACCUCCGUCCCAAAUUAUAAGACAUAAGUGUCUUAUUUUUUUUCUGAGAAAACGCGAGAGGUUGCAUUUCAUUGCUUUGGAAAGAGAGAGGGUUUUAGUUACAAUCCUUCAAGGAGGGAAUUACAGUGCCCAAAGGCGCAUCAGUGAACGUCCCAAGUUUGCGGUACGAUGGCUUGUAGCCCGAGGGCGCCGACUCUGGCCCAGAGGGCGGCCUCGUCCUUGAUCUUCGUGAGAAGGUCGGUCGCCGAGGGCCGUCCUCUGUCGAAGACGCAGUUGUUAUGAUGCUUCCAGAUCAUCCAUGGACGAGGAGGGUCGUGGAGGCGAGCCCCUUGCACAUGGGUUGGGGGGUGUGCUGCCACGCCGUGUGCCACCAGUUGUUGAGAGAGGUCUCGCUGUCGGGCGGGGCGCAGGGGAGCUGGAGCUAAUACAGUACCUCGUGCUAGAUCUGCCGGGCAAAGGGGCAACCUAGGAUAAGGUGGUGCAUGGUCUCGGGGGCCUGGUCACAGAGGGGGCAUCGCACAGGGUGUUGCAGGCCGUGGUCGGCGAGGCGGUUGGCCGUCCAACAUCGGUCCCACAAGUGAUGUGAAGUCGGGUUGACCUAGAGGGUACCCGCGAGAUAAUUAUGAGGCGCGGCCGGGCUGGCAGACACCAGCCCGCCCUAGAGUGGGCUGGUCUUGGCCCUUGCCGCAAGUCCUCAAGACCAAGGUAGUUAGAGUCGGGAUUCGGAGUCGGAUCGGUUUUCCUCAGACAUAAUCGAGUCGUAAGAUCGAGUCGUGCAAUCGAGGAUUCUACUAGAUUUACUCAAAUAAGAUAUUUUGUAUGCACACAAGAAAUUUAUAUGGGUUCUAUAGAGUUUUGAAACUAAAUAUGGAGCAAAGAACAUACAAAUAAAGGCUAGUUGUAUUCCACUUCAUUUUAUGCCUAACCAACCAUCUAGCUCGCAUGUAUGGAACAUAUAAGAGAGCGAAAUAUAUAGAACAUUUAAACCUUCAAUGCACGAAAUUUACUUAUGUUCUUUUUAGAGUGCGUGAAUAGUCGAUCACUUGUCUAUCUGACCUACAGUGCUAAACCUUGAAGGGUCUUGCUCUCCUUCUCCGAUCAAUCUUGAAGCAUCCUCCUUUUCACGCCAAUUCCAUAUGUCGACAAGCCUGAUCCUCAAUUUCGAUCUAGAGUUUCUAAGAGCUAGAUCAAAGGUGUCUACGGUGAGCAUUUGGACUUGGGAGGGGAAUAAAGGUCCAUGAGGUAUAUGAAAGGGGGUUUGGAUGAUGGCAUAUUAUUUUGCUACAACUAAACAAAUGGCUUAGAUAAGUUAGUAGAAUCGGAUGUAGUUCAUAGCAUAGUCGGGAUUGUACAGUUUUGUACAAGAUUCUAUGAUUUUGAUCGCGACUCAACAUGGAUUCUACCUUAUCCGGAUUCAUAGUGGGAUUUGGAUUGACAUGCUUCCAUAGGGUCGUGAAGUCGUAGGAUUCUAGCAGUCGAAUCAGGAUUCUGACUACCUUGCUCAAGACAAGGCGACAGGAGUACUGAUUGUCACCGCACGCUCCCAAGUCACUAACGAGAUUGGGUAUUUGAUCUGAGUUAGCCACUAGCCUAUACGCACUAACCACCACGUGGGAACAUAUAUGGGCACUCAGCGUAGUAUGUAUCAACCGAAGCUCUCCAGACGUCAGCGGUUUAGUGGCGCGCGCUCGGGUGGCCCACGUAAGCACCAGCCUUGUUUAAGGAGGUUGCCAGGACUGACACCGACCGCAUUCGCAACACGCAGUAUUGCAAAGGACGAUUGGCCCAUGGCCCCUUCACAUUUAGGAUGUAGACCGACGUGCUGGCCUCUCUGUUGAGGCUGGGCAUGGCCUAGGAAAGUGUGUCCGGCCAGGUGAUCAAGCGUGUUGGGAAAUGUGGUGCACCCUUGCAAGGGAGUUAAUCUAUUUGAAUAGCCGUAUCCUCGGUAAAAGGACGACUUGGAGUUGUAUCCGAUCUAUACAACUAGAACUGGAUACUGAGAUGUAAAUGGGAUAUGAUGGCUCCGGGAUUGCUUUGUCGCAGGGAGUCGAGAAAGGACCUCUGGGCGUUAAUACUACAACAUGCUUGCUUAAUAUAUGCUAUUCUAUACUCUUCUAAAUGCUACAAGAUGCUUGAAGAUGCUAGCCUUCGAUAGGCUAGGCUUUCCCUUCUCUUUUGGCAUUCUGCAGUUCAGUCCACAGACACAACCCAUUCCUUUGAUACUGAUGCAUACUUAGUUUAGAUCUGAUGUAAGUCUUGCGAGUACUUUGGAUGAGUACUCAUGGUUGCUUUGCUACCCCUUUUCCCCCAUACCCGAUUGCUGUGAUCAGAAGAUGGAUCCCAGGAGCCAGAUGCCACCACCGACGACUACUACUAUCCGAGGGUGCCUACUACUACGUGGAGGCCACUGACAAUCAGGAGUAGUUAGGAGGCUCUCGGACAGGAGGCCUUGCCUUUUCGAUCGUGUUACUUUUGUGCUAGCCUUCUUAAGGCAAAUUUGUUUAACUUAUGUCUGUACUUAGAUAUUUUUGCUUCUGCUGACUCGUUUAUAUUCGAGUUUCUAUAUUCGAGCCCUCGAGGCCCCUGGCUUGUAAUAUAAACUUGUGUGACUUAAUUUGUGUUUAGAGUUGUGUUGUGAUAUCUUCAUGUGAGUCCCUGAUCUUGAUAAUACAUAUUUGCGUGUAUGAU
rnacentral:lncRNA from 1 species